GGGCCCGUAGCUCAGGUGGUUAGAGCGCACGCCUGAUAAGCGUGAGGUCGGUGGUUCGAGUCCACCCGGGCCCACCA
rnacentral:tRNA from 1 species